rnacentral:tRNA from 1 species
GGUCCCAUCGUCCAAUCGGUCAGGACACCGGCCCUUCAAGCCGGGAAUGCGGGGUUCGAGUCCCCCUGGGAUCA